CUUUUCUCCCCCUACCACUACCAGUUUCUUAUUCUUCACAAAUUUCAGUUUCUGGUGUAGGGUGGAUGUCACGGCACCCGCCUCGUGAAUCCAUGGUCUGCCUAGAAGACAGCUGUACGAUGGGUGAAUGUCUAUAACCUGGAAGGUAAUUUGGAAAUCACUUGGUCCAAUCUUGAUUGGGAGAUCAACUUCCCCAAUCACAGUCUUACGUGACCCAUCAAAAGC
rnacentral:lncRNA from 1 species